rnacentral:rRNA from 1 species
AUUGAACGCUGGCGGCAGGCCUAACACAUGCAAGUCGAGCGGAUGAGAGGAGCUUGCUUCUCGAUUCAGCGGCGGACGGGUGAGUAAUGCCUAGGAAUCUGCCUGAUAGUGGGGGACAACGUUUCGAAAGGAACGCUAAUACCGCAUACGUCCUACGGGAGAAAGCAGGGGACCUUCGGGCCUUGCGCUAUCAGAUGAGCCUAGGUCGGAUUAGCUAGUUGGUGAGGUAAUGGCUCACCAAGGCGACGAUUCGUAACUGGUCUGAGAGGAUGAUCAGGCACACUGGAGCUGAGACACAGUCCAGACUCCUACGGGAGGCAGCAGUGGGGAAUAUUGGACAAUGGGCGAAAGCCUGAUCCAGCCAUGCCGCGUGUGUGAAGAAGGUCUUCGGAUUGUAAAGCACUUUAAGUUGGGAGGAAGGGUUGUAGAUUAAUACUCUGCAAUUUUGACGUUACCGACAGAAUAAGCACCGGCUAACUCUGUGCCAGCAGCCGCAGUAAAAC